rnacentral:rRNA from 1 species
GAUUAGAUACCCUCGUAGUCCAUGCCGUAAACGAUGUGUGUUAGACGUUGGAAAUUUAUUUUCAGUGUCGCAGCGAAAGCGAUAAACACACCGCCUGGGGAGUACGACCGCAAGGUUAAAACUCAAAUGAAUUGACGGGGACCCGCACAAGUAGUGGAGCAUGUGGUUUAAUUCGAAGAUACGCGCAGAACCUUACCAACACUUGACAUGUUCGUCGCGACUCUAAGAGAUUAGAGUUUUCGGUUCGGCCGGACGAAACACAGGUGCUGCAUGGCUGUCGUCAGCUCGUGUCGUGAGAUGUUGGGUUAAGUCCCGCAACGAGCGCAACCCUCACUUUUAGUUGCCAUCAUUAAGUUGGGCACUCUGAAAGAACUGCCAGUGAUAAGCUGGAGGAAGGUGGGGAUGACGUCAAGUCCUCAUGGCCCUUACGUGUUGGGCUACACACGUGCUACAAUGGUAUCUACAACAGGAAGCAAGACGGCGACGUUAAGCAAAUCCUUAAAAGAUACCUCAGUUCGGAUUGCACUCUGCAACUCGAGUGCAUGAAGCUGGAAUUACUAGUAAUCGUGGAUCAGCGUGCCACGGUGAAUGCGUUCCCGGGUCUUGUACACACCGCCCGUCACACCAUGGGAGUUGGUUCUACCUUAAGGCAAGGUUUAAAACCCUUGACCACGGUAUAGUCAGCGACUGGGGUGAAGUCGUAACAAGGUAACCGUA